CGAGGAGGCCACUCAAGCUGGUGCAAGUGCAGGUCAGUCCUGAGAGUGGGUGUCUCGUUGUCUCACUCUAGUGCCAACCCUGGCUGUGAGGACCCUGGGGUGUCACAUAUGCUCUCGAACAAGACAAGCUGCUUUCAGCUAAACUACACAUGGCAGCCAUCACUGGUUUCCAUUCAGCAGAUAUUUACUGAGCACGCCUGUGUCUCAGCACUGCCAGGGACUUCCCUUCCCGUCCUGGUCACCAUCUGCUCCUUCACUGAGCCCCGAGGUGGCUUCACAGGCAGCAUGACCUCACCCAGCACCUCUUCUUCUGACAGAUUCUGAGCCCCCAAGGGCCCAGACCACACCACCACUCUGCAGGAAAACAAAGGCAAGAAGAGUGUGAGCUGAGAGGAUUCAAGAGGAGAGUGAGGAUGGGAGGGGGACCGGAGGCGAGCAGAGGAGGAGCCACUGGUCUAACCUCGUCAAGAGGCAGUCAUGGACUCCUUGUGCCGCAGCUGGUUCUCCUGCCAGAACCUCAUGCUGUAAAUCAGCCUCCUUCUCUGUUCCCAGGCUGUCAAAGACCCCAGCUCGUCCUGCAUGCUGCAAAGGACCCUGGGGGUAUUACCGAACAUGAAGAGGAGAUAGUCCAGGUGCUUGUCCUUGACGGUGUCUGUCUCCAUGGAGGAUAGUGGAUUCUGGAGCCAGGAAGCCAGAGACUGCAACUGAACUCCUCCUCGUCUCCUGACGUCGAGAGAUCGAGUGGAUUCGGGAUUCUGGUGAUGAGAGAGAUUUGAUUCUGGUGUCCUGGAAACCUAAUACCUCUAAUCCUGAAUGGUAUGGCCUUGAAGAAAAAUACAAGCACAUAUUCAGCCUAACAGAGCUGGGUUUCUUGAUCAUCAGAAAUCUCAGUAUGGAAAUGAGUGGACUGUACACAGCGAAAAUCAGGUUCCGGUCAGGAAAACCCCAGGAGAAAGCCUUCAGACUCUGUUUAUAUGGUAAGGUUUGUAGGGACCACGCCCCAAACAGGCGUUCUGACAACCAUUUUAUCUAAAAGUUAGCCUAGAACUGGGUAAAAAAAAAGAAACCAGUGUUUAGGAGUUUUUGCAUUUCUUCUGAUGCCCUAAAAAUAAAACUAAAUAUUAAAGAUUACAUCCCAGGAAAAACUAGUUAAAAUUUCUUAAAAAGUAUAAAAUGUACACGAAAUGGGGGAGAGAGAAAGAGCCACUGAAAAGGAUAAAAAACCUUUCCCCAAUCAUAAAAAUACUGCAAAAUUGAUUAUUAGAUAUAUGCAAUUAUAUCAAAAAUGUCCUGAAUUGGUUGGUUGAAAACCUGAUUUAAAAAUUCUUAAAUGACCCAAAAUAGUUGGCAACACCAAAACAACAAAACAGAACACCAAAAAGAUGAAAUAAAAGCACCAAGAAGGAGACUGAUGUUAGGACGAGUCAUUAGAUAAAUUGCUUUGAGACCAAUUGACCUGAAGUCCAGCUGGAGAGAUCUCAGGACAAAGCUCUGUCCUGCUCUGUCCAAGUCAAAGAUGCAGAAGGCGACCCAGCCGCUGUGCCCUGGGGCUCCCAGGCCAACGAGGAGCCCAAUACCCUGCCCCAGGAAGCAGAGAACCUGGGCAGAUGCGCAGUGGAGAAAGCAGCAAAAAGAGAGGAGGGGGAGCAGUGCCUGGGGGCAUCCAACCUGCCAGAGCUCUCGCCCAUUGCUGCUCUCUGCCUCCACCCUCCGUCUCCUCUGCUUGGGUGAUCCCAGCAGCCUCCUAACGGGCCUCCCUGCCUCUCCUCUCUUCCUCCUUCCAGAUCACCCUCCAACCAGCUGAUAUUUGGAUCUUUUUAAAAAUGCAGUACUCAGCCUGUUAUUCCCCUGCUUAAAACCAAAUAAUACUUCUUGUCCCCACCCCCACAGGAUAAUGGCCCUCAGGAAAAGUCCAACCCCACACAGGAUCUGGUCCUUGCCUGCCUCUCCAGCCUCAUUUCCCAACACUUUCCCUCAUGGGCAAUACUCCAAAUUAGCUACCCUUCACUCACCCACCUGGCCCUUUCUCUUCUCCUGGACAUAUGCUGGUGGCUCUCCAGGGGACAUCCAUCUCCCCACUUCCCCUGCACAACUAGCAAAGCCUCACCUAGUGGGAGCAGGGGAGGGGUGAGGGACUCCAACAUGGGAGAUGGGAACGCUUGUAAGAAGAGACUGGGGUGACUGGCUUGGCUGUCCAAACUGGGGUUUUCCAUUGGUGAAGGGUGGGGAAUACACCCGCUGACCCCCCGGCCUCCAGCUCUUGAUUCCUGAUCUUGUCUCUGUCCUCCUUGGCUGAUAAAUUCCUUGCAUAGCUUUCUCAGUGACGUCAUACCGGUACAGUCUCAUCCUCUCUCUUUUGGCAGCAAGAAACAGAAACCUACUCAAAUUAGGUCAAUAAAGAGGGUUUUCAUUGUAAAGAUACAUAGAUCUCUAGGAGGAAGAUGAAUACAGGAGCUCCUCUAGCCCUCAUGCUCAGGGACGGGAAAGCUGACGGGCACUCUCUUCUGUCUGUCAGGGACCAUAUGGUCCCUCAUCUUUGCUCUCAGUGUCUCUCUUUCUCUCUCCUGUCAGCUUUAUUCUCCUGGGCUUGUCCACACGGUAGGGAACAUGGCCUUCUGCAGCUAUGGGUCCCACUGGAUCAGAGAGCAAAGGGACUUUCCUGGUGCACUCCACAUGGAAAAUUCCAGGGAAGGACCCUUGUUGGCUGGGCUUGGGUCACAAGACCGCCCCUAGAUGGCUUACUGGCCAGAGGAAUAGGCAAGGCCUGGGACUUGUGCCCUCCCCUGUAAUGAGGGUUAGGCUGCUGUGAUUGAGAUCAUAUCAAAAAUACAAGGUUGGAGCAGAAGAGAAGUUGCCAAAAGAAGAAGUCCUACUAGCUGGUUUCCUUUGGCCUUGUUUUCCAUUCCCUGACAUCCCAUCAAUGCCCAAGUUCAGUCUUCAAACAACACUCGCUCUCUCCCCAUCGCCUGUAGGACUAAGUACUCAUCACAGCAUGAGAGGACCUCCACUGACUGAUGCCGUCAUUCCAGCCAAACAUAUUGCUCCUCAAACACAGCCUCUCUCUCCCUCAUGGCUUUCAGAACUGCCACAGCCUAAGAAAACGAUUUUCUGAUCUAUACUAAAGGAAUACUUCCGUUGUGAAGUCCCAAGGUUCUUUCUCUUAGUUCUUUUGCAGAUUGUGUUUCUGUCUGCCUUGCACUACAAUUGUUUGUGUGUGGUCUACUCUCCACUUGAGAGCAGGGUCCGUGCCCUGCUCCCCUUGGCAUCUGCCCAGUGUUUUCUACAGCUCCCAGCAGGGAUUCAGGAAGUACUGUAUUCCUUUAACCAGAUAGAGUUAAGCAAUAUGUAAAGGAUACCUACAGAAACACACCUACUUUUUCUAGGAUUUUUGAUUAUUCAAGCCUGAUUACUAUUCCUUCACCUCUUGAAAAGAGCAGAAUAAAGGUUCAUAUAAACCAAUUACUGAGUGAAUACUCUAAAUGCCUGAGAGCAUGAGCUUUCUAAACACCCAUCUGUGCUUCAUAACACUUUAUAAUAGACAGUCCAUUUGGUUUUAUAUUUAAAUUGUUAUCUGUUCAAAAAAUCAGAUCUUUGAAAAAGCUAAUUAAAAUAUUGUUUUCCCCAGACACAUGUUCAAACAGUCUUGAGGAGAGCCCACACAUUUGUAUUUUUAAUAACUGCCCCAGAUCAGGGGCUGGCAAACUGUACGCCAUUGGUCAAAUCCAGCCCAGUGGCUGUUUUGUAAAUAAAGUUUCAUUGGAACACAGCCACAUCCAUUCAUUAACAUCUUGUGUUUGGCUCCUUUCGUGCUAUAACAUCAAAGUUGUGUAGUUGUGACAGAGCCCAUAUGGCUGGUGAAACCUAAAAUAUUUGCUAUCUGACCCUUUAGAGAAAAGGUUGCCUCCCCUGCCUAGAUGAAUCUACUGACAGCUGAUCCAUGUAACUUCAGAGGGUUAACAUGAGGAUUAAAUGAGUCCAUGUAAACCCUUGGAGCCGUGACUGGAAAUAUAUACCUGCUCAAUAAGUGCUUGCUGUGGUUUUCUUUUCAUCUGCUAAUGAAGAGUGAAGACCUUUCCUCCCCCAGCAGAUCCCCGUACUUCCCUGGUCAGCACCAAUGCAGCUGCAAGAAAGACCGAAACCGAGACUUUGGCUCUCUAGAUUCCACAGCAGAGGAAGCGAGGACGGAGAGGGAAGUGGGGCUGCGUGUGGAUGAGCCACCUCUCAGAUUGGCCACGUGGCCGUUACUGGCUGCUUUUACCGGUGUUACAUCCUUUGCUCUGGUCUACCCACCAUAGUAAAAUAAUCCACUGGAGUAAUAGUGGAUUUGAAAAUUUCUCCUUGAAUUUCCAACAGUGUUUUGGUUUUGAUUUUGUUUUGUUUUGCUUUAUAGCAUUUAUGCAUUUCCAAACCAUGUUAACAUAUUAAUCUAAAAUAUCUCUCUUUGGCCUGCUUAAUUUUUUUUUUAAAGAUUUUAUUUUUUCCUUUUUCUCCCCAAAGCACCCCCGGUACAUAGUUGUAUAUUCUUCGUUGUGGGUCCUUCUAGUUGUGGCAUGUGGGACGCUGCCUCAGUGUGGUUUGAUGAGCAGUGCCGUGUCCGCGCCCAGGAUUCAAACCAACGAAACACUGGGCCGCCUGCAGCAGAGCGCAUGAACUUAACCACUCGGCCCCGGGGCCAGCACCCUGCUUAAUGUUUUUUAUCUUAAAUUUUAUUUGGUCUGUAAUGACUCUUGCCACACCUGCAGUCAUUUUCUUGACAUUUUCUUCAUCUACUGUUUCCCAUCUCUUUCUUUUUAAUCUUUCCGUGUCGUUAG
rnacentral:lncRNA from 1 species